GACGAACCGUCCAAACGUUAUUCGGUAUCACUGGGCUUAAAGCGUGCGUAGGCGGCCUAGUAGGUGAGGUGUGAAAUCCCUCGGCUCAACCGAGGAAUAGCGCUUCAAACCACUAGGCUUGAGGGAGACAGGGGUGAUUGGAACAGUUGGUGGAGCGGUGAAAUGCGUUGAUAUCAACUGGAACACCGGUGGCGAAAGCGAAUCACUGGGUCUUUUCUGACGCUGAGGCACGAAAGCUAGGGGAGCGAACGGGAUUAGAUACCCCGGUAGUCCUAGCCGUAAACGAUGAGCACUGGGCUGGGGGGACUUCCACAUCCUCCCGGCCGUAGCGAAAGCGUUAAGUGCUCCGCCUGGGGAGUAUGGUCGCAAGGCUGAA
rnacentral:rRNA from 1 species